rnacentral:rRNA from 1 species
AUUGAACGCUGGCGGCAGGCCUAACACAUGCAAGUCGAACGGGUGGCGGACGGGUGAGUAAUGUCUGGGCAACUGCCCGAUGGAGGGGGAUGAGUACUGGAAACGGUAGCUAAUACCGCUAAACAUCGGAUGUGCCCAGAGGGGAUUAGCUAGUGGGUGGGGUAAUGGCUCACCUAGGCGACGAUCCCUAGCUGGUCUGAGAGGAUGACCAGCCACACUGGAACUGAGACACGGUCCAGACUCCUACGGGAGGCAGCAGUGGGGAAUAUUGCACAAUGGGCGCAAGCCUGAUGCAGCCAUGCCGCGUGUAUGAAGAAGGCCUUCGGGUUGUAAAGUUCUUUCAGCGAGGAGGCGUUACUCGCAGAAGAAGCACCGGCUAACUACGUGCCAGCAGCCGCGGUAAUUC